UAAUGUGGCCCUCCUAGGACACCAUAGCAUACGUCAGACGUAAAUAGUAUUGCCAACCAGGCAUUGAGUUAACAUGGCAUUUACCCUUUACUCCCUCAUUCAAGCAGCAAUUUUGUGCGUGAAUGCGGUGGCUGUACUACACGAAGAGCGGUUUUUGAGUAGAAUUGGAUGGGGAGUGGACCAGGGCGUUGGUGGCUUCGGCGAUGAACCAGGCAUCAAAGUUCAGCUGAUGAACCUGAUUCGUUCUGUGCGAACCGUCAUGAGAGUGCCUUUGAUCGCAGUGAAUUCCGUGUGUAUCGUUUUGUUGCUGCUAUUUGGAUAACGACAAAGAAAGGACAAAGCGGAACGCCUCAAUCUUCACAAUCUCAGGAAGCUGUGAACAAUAACAUGCAGAAUAUCCAAUGCCGUUACAAAUGAUUAAAAUAAAAGUUGUCUUAUUUUUCCUUGAGUGCACUAUUUUAUGAUGCGUACAUGUAAAAUAAUGCCACAAAAAGUUAUUAUCAUAUCAAAAUUCCAAAUAAAAUUGGGUUUAUAGUGUUCGAGCUUUCGCGUUUCUUUGUUUGUCCCUUUACAAUUGCCGUACACGUCCCCACUUUACUUCCUGAUUGGCCAUAUAAUUAAAUAAACAAAGGUGUCGGCGGGUAAAAAAAACAAUGAGAAACUUUCAGAAUUACAUAUUGGCUUCUCUGUCUUUAUUCUCCAUAUAUUUCGGGUAUGUGCACUUCUACUGUUCUCAUAAAUUACUGCAAACAAAAACGUUCAUCUGCGGGAGACUUCCAAGGCUUUCAUAUUUGUUUAUGAUAUAUCUUACCAAAGCUAUUACUCUGAAAAGGGGCUUCUUAUACAAGCCAAAAAGCAAGAGCAAAUGCGACAUUGUUUAUGCUGUCAACAGCUGCAGGCUGGACAAAAUGCUUUUGAGGAGAUUUUGCAGUGCUGCUGGUUAUGGUUGGGACUAUCCAGACAGCGAAUACAGAGACAUUCCUCUGUGCUUCCCUGAGGUUCUGUGCAGUACACUUCUGCUUAUGACCAUUACUGAUCACAACUUCCGACUCAGCCCAGCUGGUCUGGUUUGUGUGCGUCAGAGCAUUAAAACGCAUCAGCCGGUUGAUGAGUUGAAGAAAGGUCCGUUCACAUUGCAAGCUCAAGUCCUCGUGUACAGAACGGUGGAUGUCGGCGUGGAGGUGGACAUCUUGCUGUCUGCUACUUCCCGUCAUGAGAGUCUUGUGUGGGAGAGCAUCCUAACACUACUCUCGGGAAACAAGCACCAACACGCUAUUAGAUGUGGAGCCAAGAACGGGAAUGAAUGUCUAAAGGAUGAAACUGCACUUGUGAAACAAGUGGAGGUCAGAGUUCCACUAAGUGCUGGCCCACCACGUGCCCUGUCAUUCUUGGACCAUUGGUUCUUCUAUCUGCCAGCCAGUUUGUUUGGCUUCAAGUUACGGCCCAUUUCAAGUCUGUGGAUGUUGUCUGUGUGCUUGGCUGAAAUAGAGAAGCACAAUGGCGUUGGAGUCAUUACUUCUCCACUGAACAUCAUGGCCAGGUUUAAGGAAAGUUUACUGGCACCAACCAAAGUGACCCUCUCAUUUUGGAGAUGUCAGUCCUCGACCAGAGACCUCGGCUUCCAAAUGCAGCAAUUUGGAGGCAGCAAGUUUCACUUGAUGGGAGUGAUAUCUAAGAACUGACUUAAACAUUUAUAGUACCAAAAAAGUACAUGAAGACACAAGGAAAAGAGGAGAUUCCAAGCACCUCCCUCUCCUCAGAGUGCAGCAGCGUGCAAGUGUACCAUGACUACCAGAAAGUGGCUUUCAAGAUGCACCCUGAAAAUGGCCACGCCAAAGACAAUGGCUCUCACACCAUGAAGGAGCAGUUCCCAAUCAAAGAAAAUUCAUCAUGCAACAGCUUUGACCUAAAGAUCAGUAUGAAGGAUUCCAGCACUCAAAGGCUCUCAAUGUGGACCAUUGAUUCCAGCACACAGGCCUAUUCAGGUCCAGAAGACAACUCCACAGACCCUGCAGAGACCCCGACAGAGACAUCCACUUUGAACUUUGUUGAAGAGUAUCACACUCUCCAUGGGACGACAAUGGUUUACCUCAAGGAGUUUGUGCUUAUUGAUGAUGACGAUGAUGGGGACAUGUCCCUAAGAGAGAAAACAGUCCAUAACUUGACCGUCAUGGAUGGGAAAGCUGCGGACCUAGUUUGCGGGAGAUUGGUUUCCACUUCAAGCGUCUCCCCUGAAUGUAAGCGUGAAUUCUCGCCACCCGAGGGUCAGGGCCCUGAGCUCGAUCAACCUUCUGGAAAUCAACAUUGCUGUACCUGCUCCAUCCUAUAACUGACAGUAUCAGAAGGUGCACUGUGGAGCAAUGCUGAGUGCCUUGGUGUCAUAUAAGCACACUGCCACAGACUUAGAGCAAACAGGACAAAAGUCAGGAAAAGGACCUGUGUCUGAGUAAUUUCUUUCUUAUUUGUGUGUGUGUGGGAGGGGGUGGGGUAGUUAUUUCAUUUAUAAUAGAAGGAGUCUAUGGACUAGAAUGUUACAAAACCUUUUAGAUUUUCAAUAUAAGCCCAUUUGUAAACCUUGCAUUUUUACAUCUUUGAUACUUCAAAAUUGCAUGUACACGUAAUGGCAGGUCGACAGUCCUGAAGGUGCCUGUACUGUUAAGGGUGUUGAAUAAUUUGUAUUCAUAGAGGCAAAUCUCACUUUUAAUAUAUGGAUGUCGUGUGGAGAAUUGUGAAGCAGUCAAAAUAUACCUGGGUAAUAUGUUUGGUAAAUAACGCUUUGCCAUUGCAGGCAUGUACAGCACAGUUGGUGCUUUGUAAUACUGUACAGUCUUUGUUUCAAUACAGUCACAUGGAAUAA